UACGUAGGUGGCAAGCGUUAUCCGGAUUUAUUGGGCGUAGGGGGAACGCAGGCGGUCUUUUAAGUCUGAUGUGAAAGCCUUCGGCUUAACCGGAGUAGUGCAUUGGAAACUGGGAGACUUGAGUGCAGAAGAGGAGAGUGGAACUCCAUGUGUAGCGGUGAAAUGCGUAGAUAUAUGGAAGAACACCAGUGGCGAAAGCGGCUCUCUGGUCUGUAACUGACGCUGAGGUUCGAAAGCGUGGGUAGCAAACAGG
rnacentral:rRNA from 1 species